CAGCCUUGACGUUUUUUUGUCGCGCGCGAAGCCGUGAAGGCUUUUCAAAGGGGAGGGGAGGAGAAAUGGUCUUUGCCUCGUGAGCUGAGUUUGUGAAGAGAGGCAAGCAUGCGCAUGCGUUGCGGGACCCUGUGAAGCGGUUGGGCGGGUCUGGAGAUUGCGGCGGCAGCGGCGACUUAGGAUCGACUUUGGGGCGGCUCCCAGGUGCGGCACCUCCUGCUGUGCGGUUCCUCUUGAACUGGUUUGUGCGACUCUACAGAAACAUGUCUAAGCAACAACAGCCUGCUGAAAAGUUUGCAAAUCCAGAAACUCCUGGUUAUGUUGGAUUUGCAAACCUUCCAAACCAGGUUCAUCGGAAGUCUGUGAAAAAAGGCUUCGAAUUUACCCUUAUGGUAGUUGGUGAAUCUGGAUUGGGAAAAUCUACUCUAAUAAACAGCUUGUUCUUAACAGAUCUCUACCCAGAAAGGAUAAUCCCAGGAGCAGCUGAAAAAAUAGAAAGAACUGUACAGAUUGAGGCCUCAACAGUUGAAAUUGAGGAAAGAGGUGUAAAGCUCCGUCUGACUGUGGUAGAUACACCAGGAUAUGGUGAUGCUAUUAAUUGUCGGGAUUGUUUCAGGACCAUUAUUUCCUAUAUUGAUGAGCAGUUUGAACGUUAUCUUCAUGAUGAGAGUGGCUUGAAUAGACGGCAUAUUGUGGAUAACCGAGUUCAUUGCUGCUUCUAUUUCAUCUCACCAUUUGGUCAUGGUCUCAAGCCUUUGGAUGUUGAGUUCAUGAAAGCUAUACACAACAAAGUGAAUAUUGUGCCUGUGAUUGCAAAAGCUGAUACCCUUACGCUGAAAGAGCGGGAAAGACUGAAGAAAAGGAUUUUGGAUGAAAUUGAAGAACAUAGUAUCAAGAUUUAUCACUUGCCCGAUGCGGAAUCAGAUGAAGAUGAAGAUUUUAAAGAACAGACCAGACUUUUGAAAACCAGCAUUCCAUUUUGUGUUGUGGGAUCCAAUCAAUUAAUUGAAGCUAAGGGUAAAAAAGUUAGAGGUCGUCUUUAUCCCUGGGGUGUUGUUGAAGUGGAAAAUCCAGAACAUAAUGACUUCUUAAAACUAAGAACCAUGCUGAUCACUCAUAUGCAGGAUCUUCAAGAAGUGACUCAAGAUCUUCACUAUGAAAACUUCCGUUCUGAAAGACUUAAAAGGGUGGCAGAAAAGUUGAAGAUGAAGAAGUUAAUAAAGAUCAAAUCUUGCUUGAAAAGGAAGCAGAACUUCGCCGCAUGCAGGAAAUGAUUGCAAGGAUGCAGGCACAGAUGCAGAUGCAAAGGCAGGGAGGUGAAGGAGAUAGCAGUGCAACUCAUGGGUACAAAGUUUGAAUUAUUUGAUAACUUUCAUUAAUUGGAAUCAUUUAAGACUUAAGACACAGAGCUUAUUUUGUGGGAAGAGUUACUGCUUAUCCUGCUGUGACUUGGAAGGUCUGUUAACAUUCAGCAAACAAAUAUAUAGUUGUUGUAAUCUCUAUUUUGUAAACAAAUAAGGUUUCUUUAGUUUUUUUAAAUGUUAAAUGCAAUAUGAGUUCGUUAAGAUUUACUAAUAUUUUAUUGAGCUGAUUUUACUGUGCAGACUACACAAUGUUUAGAUUUUCCCUAGCCUGUUGUUCAUCUAAUACUAUGGACUAAUGCCACUGAGGGUUGGGUUUUUUGUUUUGUUUUUUUGCACUCAAUAUAUAAAUUGAUUAUAACCACAUUAUAUUUAUGGUUUAAAUUCUUAUUCUUUUUCCUGAUUUUCUUUUUACAGCUGACAUAAUUGUUUGAAAGUCCCUUUAACUUACCUACCCUAUAAAUAUUAUGUAUUGCCUUUUUCUUUGAAAUAUCAUUGUAAAGGUUUUCAUAGGAAAGAUUAAAGUAAGUCUUAAAGGAAUGUUCAUUUUUUUUGGAAUAGAGACCUUUGCGUUCAGACUGACCAACAAGAAAAUAAGUGAUGAUAUUUUCAACUUUUUUCAAUGUUACUCUUUUUAUAUACAGGUAGUCCUUGACCUAUAACCAUAAUUGAGCCUGGAAUCUUAGUUGUUGAGUGAAGCAGUUGUUAAAUGGCACAUCCCAUAACUGCUUCCCUCAAUGACUACCAUCCUGGCUCAUUCAUUUACAGUUGUUAAGUGACCUUGUGGAUCAUUCAGCAGAGUGAGGGGAUGUUGCACCAGGUAGGGAGCCUGGGAUCCACAGGGAUACAUAAACCUGCUGAUGUCUCAGAGGAUUCAGCGGGUUCCAAUCCAGCCACUCAGCCACCCAGGGAGCCUCAGGCUAGCUAUGGAAGCUACCACAUAUACAAAGCUGCUGCAGGUGGCUGGGUGAGUUGCUCCCCUCUGUCCCCUCCACUUGCAACUUCCCUGCUAGUUUCCCAGCAGAAAAGAUAGCAGAUGGCAUUCCCAUGAUCAUAGGGUGCUUGGAAACUGGUUGUAACUGCAAAUAGGCUGCCAAGACCUUGAAAUGUGGUCAUGUGAUGGGGGGCAGUGCUACACUUUAUAAUGUUUGGAAGCACUUUCCAAUGCUAUUGCAACUAUAAUCAAUUGUGAAAUAGCUAGUUGUAAGACCAGAACUACCUAUAUGAACUAACAUGUCAGUCUUUAUGCCUUGUCUAUUUGUGGACUGCUGUACUUUGCCAGUGCUAUACAGUAAAUUCAAGUAAAUUCCAUGUGUGUAGCAUUUUGUAUCAUGUGAGUUUAAAAGAAGUAAUAUAAUUUAGAAAAUAAAUCAGUUAUUUGUUCAGACUUUUUUAGGUUUAUUCUUUCAGAUUUUCAAGUUUUUAUUUUAUUUUUGAAGAAAGCAAGGUCAAAUUGUACCGAUGGCAUGUGUUUCUACAAAGGAUGAUCAUAACCUAUCCAUCAUGGAAGAAACUAGCUACUCCCUGAUGACCCAGUAUACCCAUGACGUACAUACAUACUGACAGACAUAAAUACUGUACUUGGAAAUACUGGAAAGAGAGUGACUUAAUCUAAUGUCCUUCAGGCUUGUAGCACUAAAAAAAUCAUUAUGGCAUUUUCAUCUUGAUUGUUGUUACACACAGAUUAUCAAAAACCUUAUGUGGUGCAUAUUUUAGUCUGAAUUUACUAUAUUCAAAAUAAAAUCCAAAUUAUAUUCUUUAAGUCUGCAAUGAAUGAUAUAUAAACAUAGCAAAAAUGUUCUGCCAUUUAUUAAUCCAGGAUUUUCAUUUUAAAAGGAGAUCAUAGAAAGAUUUCACUUUGAUCUUAUAAUUUAUUUGGAAAAUAUAAUACUAAUCUGAAAAGUUUUCACAAAUAGCAUUUUUUCCCUUAGAAAGACAAUAAUUGUUCAACACCUCUUCUGUUCAGAAGUAACACCUACAAUCAUUUGUGUCCUACAUAGGAUAUGUUACUGGGUUAAAUUAUGCUACUUGAUUUGAACACACUUUUUACCUAGAAUGUUUUAGAUCUGGGCUGAUUUCGGUAUUAUUUGUAUGAAGCUGUAAUUAUAAUUAAAUAGCAAGGAGAAAAAUUCCUGGUAUUUGAAAACCUGUGAAAAUGUGAAUGUGUGUGCCAAAUAACUAGUAUAAACCUAACCCUACUGUACAUUAGUUUCAUUAACUGACUUUAAAGAAUUGUUCAAUAUUUUUAAAUAUAUUCUAUUCAUCUUCAUGUAUUGUUUGCUGUAAUUAGACCUUCAUUCUAUACUAUAACUUAGUCUUAUUUGUGGUGCUACAUUUUAAGAAUUUUGGCUUUUAUGAUCACUUAUAAAAUCCAUACUGCUAAAACUCAAUUCCUGAACAGCUGUAAUUUACUAAUUUGAAUUGUACCUUUUUAAGUAAGGUUAAAUUUUUUAACAGUGUAUUUCCAUGAGGUUGAAUUAUGUUUCCAGUCUGUGCCUGAUAUAGGAAUAAUGAAGUAUCUGUACCUAUUUCCAUGAACUAAGCUACAUUUGAAUAUUCAGCCUAGAAUAAAAAAAAUAAAUUUCUCAAGUUUUUGGGAACAUGAAAAAAUGGUUAGCAUCACAAAUGGUCUUUGUCUUUCGAACUAAUAUAAUUACAAUUGUAUAUUGUUAUAUUCUUUAACACUUUUACUGGAUUUUUAUAACUCGGGUACUCAAAGGGCUACUUUUUGUAUAAGACAGUAUAACCUCUAAUUGAUUUUCUGUACCUUAAUUUUAGCCCAGAUUAUUAAUAAACCCAAUAAACUGUUAUGUACUAAUCUG